GUGAGAAAGGCCUCUGAGAACUGGAACUCACGUUGGGCCUCAACUACAGAGGGAAGAAGAGGAGGGACACCAGAAGUAGCAUGAACAGUAUGUAUAAAGGUCUAAGAACAGGAAGUAAGCCUGUUCUGCCCAAAAUAGAGAGCCAGGAAAUGGUAUGGGCACACGGUGCUCCCAGGGGGCUGUAACUGACUGUGUAGCCUGCCUUUCCUCCUGUGGGAAGCUCUCUUGAGAGCACUUCAGGAUGCAAGACAUCGGGCAACCAAGCAGCUGUGCUUCACAGUUGGACCACACCAAGCUUCUGCCUAUGCAGCCAAUACUAUCAGGGCAGCCCCACCAUCCACCAAGCGCCCUCAGUGAUCUACUGGUGCCACAUCAGGCCCCACCUCUCCACAUCUCCACACUGGAGCCCAAGCUUCCAAUGCCUUGGAAGACUCACUAAAACAAUAUCCAAACCAUGGCAUAUCUCUAGAAAAAUCUCUUCUUGUGGGCUGUGCCAUCAAUUGACUACCUAAGAGAAGUAGGACUUGCUUUCUGUUUCACCUAAAAGCCCCAUUCUUCACUCCACUGGAGACCCUUUUUCUGGAAUUCACGUGUCCUCCCUGGUCAGUAGCAAAGAUCAAACGCCGAAUCAUCAGCCAGUCCUUCUAUAUAAACAAACUAAGGCCCUGAGACAGAAAUGGCAUGGAGUACUACACAGUAAUUGAUGUUAUAAUCAGGAAAAGCAUUACAGGGAGGGGACAGCAAAUUUCCCGUGAAAAGGAGAUGGCUGGGUUGCUGACACAGGCUACAUCAUUGCAGAACCCUGAGAGCAGGGAAGAUGCAGACAGGUUCAUGAAUUUGAACAAUUGGUUGCCAGUUGGUGGCGCUGUUUGGAGAGGCUGUAAAGCCUUUAGGAGAUGGAGCCUUGAAGGAGGAAGUCAGUCACUGAAGCAGGCUCCGGGAGUUCCUAUCCUUGGCCCACUUCAGUUCCGUUUCUUCUUUCUGUUAGCUGUUCUUCAAUGUGUGAUAGAUAUCCAAGAUGUGCAAGCUAAGCUUCAUGUUCCAGCCACCAACUGCCAUGCCUCUGCUGCCAUUACAGACUCCUACCCCUGGAACUGUAGCCAAAAUAAACACCUCCAUAAUUUGCUCCUGGCCACAGUAUUUUAUUACAGCAACAGAAAAGCAAUUAAGACAGUAAAUAAAAAUAAAAAAGUAUAAAUAAAAAAAAACUGGAUCUAAAAGUGGAGUUAUUAUAACCACACCUAACAUUGCAGUUUUUAAGCCUUUGGAAUUAGUUUUCCAAAAACUCUU
rnacentral:lncRNA from 1 species